rnacentral:tRNA from 1 species
CGGUCUGGCUCAGUUGGGCAUCGUUGCAGCGAGCGCCACGGUGGAGAGCCUUAUGUUACACUGCUCGCAGCAAGGGCUGCUUGCAUGGGGUGCAAGGGGUCGAGUGUUCGAAUCACUCCGUCCCGACCA